rnacentral:rRNA from 1 species
GACGAACGCUGGCGGCGUGCCUAAUACAUGCAAGUAGAACGCACAGUUUAUACCGUAGCUUGCUACACCAUAAACUGUGAGUUGCGAACGGGUGAGUAACGCGUAGGUAACCUGCCUGGUAGCGGGGGAUAACUAUUGGAAACGAUAGCUAAUACCGCAUAAUAUUGAUUAUUGCAUGAUAAUUGAUUGAAAGAUGCUAUUGCAUCACUACCAGAUGGACCUGCGUUGUAUUAGCUAGUAGGUGAGGUAACGGCUCACCUAGGCGACGAUACAUAGCCGACCCGAGAGGGUGAUCGGCCACACUGGGACUGAGACACGGCCCAGACUCCUACGGGAGGCAGCAGUAGGGAAUCUUCGGCAAUGGACGAAAGUCUGACCGAGCAACGCCGCGUGAGUGAAGAAGGUUUUCGGAUCGUAAAGCCCUGUUGUAAGAGAAGAACGGGUGUGAGAGUGGAAAGUUCACACUGUGACGGUAUCUUACCAGAAAGGGACGGCUAACUACGUG